rnacentral:rRNA from 2 species
CCUGGUGGCCAUAGCGGGGAGCCCGCACCCGAUCCCAUCCCGAACUCGGCCGUGAAAAACCCCAGCGCCCAUGGUACUGCGUCUUAAGGCGCGGGAGAGUAGGUCGCCGCCAGGU